rnacentral:lncRNA from 1 species
GGUGUCACAUCUGGGGUGUCCCCAAUGUCACAUCCUGGGUGUCCUCAGUGUCACAUCCUGGGUGUCCUCGGUGUCACAUCCGCAGUGUCCCCGAUGUCCCCAGUGUCCCCAAUGUCCCCAGUGUCCCACUGUCACAAUGUGGAGAUCUCAUCCUCAGUGUCCA